GUGCCUGUAGCUCAGCUGGAUAGAGCACCGCCCUUCUAAGGCGGGUGUCAGGGGUUCGACUCCCUUCAGGCACACCA
rnacentral:tRNA from 2 species